rnacentral:lncRNA from 1 species
CGCUGGGUGACCCAUGUGACCUGCUGCUUAGCAAUUCCUUGUCACCAUCUUCCCUUCUCAGCCUCUUUUUUCAUGCUAACAGGCAUAAAUGAAAUGAUGAUAAAAGUUUGAGCUCUUCUCGUGGAAUUCUUGUGAUACAGAUAUGUGCUACACGUUCAUCAUCUCGUUGGUCUUCACCAUGAUAACUGUGGAGUAAGAAUUAUAAGCAGGUCACAGAUUAGGGACUUGAGAUUGACAGUUUGGCUUCCCUGUUCUGGGUGGCAAAGCCUGUGGAGUACUCACCUACCUGCUGCAUGAAGGCAGCAUGGAGGGACUGUGGUGGAUUAUCUGCAAAGAUGGCCAAAAUUCUCUCAUCCCUGCAGGCACAUACAAGAUGCCAGAAUCAGUCAAAACUAAGCUCACUGUCCUUGCUAAUAUUCUGCCCCAGAGAAGAACUGAAGCUCAGCUAUUCACCCUACAGAAAGCCUGAAUUUUGUAAAAGUUCUGCUUAGAAUGAGGAAGAAAGAUGAAGAAUGAGGAGGAAGAAGGGAGGAACAAGAGAGAGAGGUUGUUGCAUGGCAUAAGUAAAAUGACAGCCAAAGGAUACAUGCAACUUUUCAGGGACAAAGAUCUGUGCAGCAUCGACAGUACUGCCUAAUGAGGUUUCACCAUAAUGAAGUAUUACAACCAGUUUACAGACCAGAAAACUGAGACACAGGAAGGGGUGGUGACUUGAGCAAGGUGCAUCAGCUGGUUUCCAGAAGUUCCCCAGUCAUUGAGCAUUUCUGAGGCUCUUGAUGCAUAUGCCAAGUAGUUAUGGAGAAAGACACAGCAGCUUACCUCUGCAGGCAUCAUUGUGUGAAAGGAAGACCCAGGCUCUCUCACCACCCUUCAACAGAAGCCUUUUGCUAAGGAGUUUGCAGUUCACCCGCAAACCUCAGCGAUCCAAGCUCCCCUGGAUGACCAUCACUCACCAAGAAAAGAACAAUAACAGGACCUGUUUUGCUAAUCCAGGACUGUUCUCCAGCACUAACUCUAAAUAAUCCCUUCUGCUAGAGUCCACUUUCUGGAACCUGUUGUGAGUAUUGUGAAUUGUUCUCCAACCUCUAUUCUAGUUAUCUCAUUUCCAUUGAGACUAGUUUGGCAGCAAAAGCACUUGCUUGAGAUU